rnacentral:rRNA from 1 species
AGUGAACGCUGGCGGUAGGCCUAACACAUGCAAGUCGAACGGCAGCACAGGAGAGCUUGCUCUCUGGGUGGCGAGUGGCGGACGGGUGAGGAAUACAUCGGAAUCUACUCUGUCGUGGGGGAUAACGUAGGGAAACUUACGCUAAUACCGCAUACGACCUACGGGUGAAAGCAGGGGAUCUUCGGACCUUGCGCGAUUGAAUGAGCCGAUGUCGGAUUAGCUAGUUGGCGGGGUAAAGGCCCACCAAGGCGACGAUCCGUAGCUGGUCUGAGAGGAUGAUCAGCCACACUCGAACUGAGACACGGUCCAGACUCCUACGGGAGGCAGCAGUGGGGAAUAUUGGACAAUGGGCGCAAGCCUGAUCCAGCCAUACCGCGUGGGUGAAGAAGGCCUUCGGGUUGUAAAGCCCUUUUGUUGGGAAAGAAAUCCAGCUGGCUAAUACCCGGUCGGGAUGACGGUACCCAAAGAAUAAGCACCGGCUAACUUCGUGCCAGCCGCCGCCGUAA